rnacentral:rRNA from 1 species
UGCCGCGUGCAGGAAGACGGCCCUAUGGGUUGUAAACUGCUUUUAUACGGGAAGAAUAAGGGACACGUGUGUCCUGGUGACGGUACCGUAAGAAUAAGGACCGGCUAACUCCGUGCCAGCAGCCGCGGUAAUACGGAGGGUCCGAGCGUUAUCCGGAAUUAUUGGGUUUAAAGGGUCCGCAGGCGGGCAAUUAAGUCAGGGGUGAAAUGGUGCGGCUCAACCGUAGCACUGCCCUUGAUACUGGUUGUCUUGAGUCAUAGUGAAGUGGCCGGAAUAUGUAGUGUAGCGGUGAAAUGCAUAGAUAUUACAUAGAACACCGAUUGCGAAGGCAGGUCACUAACUAUCGACUGACGCUGAUGGACGAAAGCGUGGGGAGCGAACGGGAUUAGAUACCCCGGUAGUCCACGCCGUAAACGAUGGAUACUAGCUGUCCGCUACCUUGAGUAGUGGGCGGCCCAGCGAAAGUGAUAAGUAUCCCACCUGGGGAGUACGUUCGCAAGAAUGAAACUCAAAGGAAUUGACGGGGGCCCGCACAAGCGGUGGAGCAUGUGGUUUAAUUCGAUGAUACGCGAGGAACCUUACCAGGGCUUAAAUGCAUAAUGACAGGUCUAGAGAUAGACUUUUCUUCGGACAUUUUGCAAGGUGCUGCAUGGUUGUCGUCAGCUCGUGCCGUGAGGUGUCAGGUUAAGUCCUAUAACGAGCGCAACCCCUGCCGUCAGUUGCCAGCAAGUAAAGUUGGGGACUCUGACGGGACUGCCGGUGCAAACCGCGAGGAAGGUGGGGACGACGUCAAAUCAUCACGGCCCUUACGUCCUGGGCUACACACGUGCUACAAUGGCCGGUACAGCGAGCAGCCACUCCGCAAGGAGGAGCGAAUCUAUAAAACCGGUCACAGUUCGGAUCGGGGUCUGCAACUCGACCCCGUGAAGCUGGAAUCGCUAGUAAUCGGAUAUCAGCCAUGAUCCGGUGAAUACGUUCCCGGGCCUUGUACACACCGCCCGUCAAGCCAUGGAAGCCGGGAGUGCCUGAAGUCCGUCACCGUAAGGA